CAGCCGUAAACGAUGUGCGUUAGGUGUAUCGGUGACCACGAGUCACCGAGGUGCCGAAGAGAAAUCGUGAAACGUACCGCCUGGGAAGUACGGUCGCAAGGCUGAAACUUAAAGGAAUUGGCGGGGGAGCACCACAACAGGUGGAGCCUGCGGUUUAAUCGGACUCAACGCCGGGAAACUCACCAGAUAAGACAGCUGAAUGAUAGUCGGGCUGAAGACUCUGCAUGACUAGCUGAGAGGUGUGCAUGGCGUAGACGUCU
rnacentral:rRNA from 1 species